GUACUUUCUUUGUCAGUACAGACUAAAGGAGGAAGGACAGGGAGAAGAUUUGCAGGACCCCUGCACAAGGAUGACAAGCAAACUCACAAAACAUUCCACAGAGAC
ensembl:snRNA U6 U6 spliceosomal RNA